rnacentral:rRNA from 1 species
CUACGGGAUGCACCAGUGAGGAAUAUUGCACAAUGGGGGGAACCCUGAUGCAGCAACGCCGCGUGGAGGAUGACGCAUUUCGGUGUGUAAACUCCUUUUAUAUGUCAAGAAAAUGACGGUAGCAUAUGAAUAAGCACCGGCUAACUCCGUGCCAGCAGCCGCGGUAAUACGGAGGGUGCAAGCGUUACUCGGAAUCACUGGGCGUAAAGGGCGCGUAGGCGGGUUGGAAAGUCAGGUGUGAAAUCCUACAGCUUAACUGUAGAACUGCACUUGAAACUUCUAAUCCAGAGUAUGGGAGGGGGAGAUGGAAUUAGUGGUGUAGGGGUAAAAUCCGUAGAUAUCACUAGGAAUACCUAAAGCGAAGGCGAUCUCCUGGAACAUUACUGACGCUAAGGCGUGAAAGCGUGGGGAGCAAACAGGAUUAGAUACCCCAGUAGUC